rnacentral:rRNA from 1 species
GACGAACGCUGGCGGCGUGCCUAAUACAUGCAAGUUGAGCGCUGAAGGUUGGUACUUGUACCGACUGGAUGAGCAGCGCACGGGUGAGUAACGCGUGGGGAAUCUGCCUUUGAGCGGGGGACAACAUUUGGAAACGAAUGCUAAUACCGCAUAAAAACUUUAAACACAAGUUUUAAGUUUGAAAGAUGCAAUUGCAUCACUCAAAGAUGAUCCCGCGUUGUAUUAGCUAGUUGGUGAGGUAAAGGCUCACCAAGGCGAUGAUACAUAGCCGACCUGAGAGGGUGAUCGGCCACAUUGGGACUGAGACACGGCCCAAACUCCUACGGGAGGCAGCAGUAGGGAAGCUUCGGCAAUGGACGAAAGUCUGACCGAGCAACGCCGCGUGAGUGAAGAAGGGUUUCGGAUCGUAAAACUCUGUUGGUAGAGAAGAACGUUGGUGAGAGUGGAAAGCUCAUCAAGUGACGGUAACUACCCAGAAAGGGACGGCUAACUACGUG